AUUUCCAGCUUAGUAUAAUCUGGUCAUUAUAAUUAAUCUGAAUUUUUUCAAGAUGAAAAAAAAAGUUAAUCAUCAUUCAGUCAACCUUAUAAUUCAGAAGCUUUAUUUGCAACAAAUUUUACAGAUGUUCUAGGGACUCAUUCUGUGUCUGUGCACUUACCUUUGUGAUUCCUAAACAUUUUUUUUUUUGUGCUGUUUGUACAUCAUGUUUGACUUUUUUGUAUUUUUGUUUUAUAUUUUUCUAUAAGUUAACUAAGUUUUUUGAAUCCAUUGAAGAAUACAAACGUUAAUUGACAA